CCAAUGCACGCUCACCCAGCCGCUCUGUGGCUUUAUACGAGUCAAAGGCAAAGUGGUGACCGGUGGGCUCUGCUCGUGCUCAAGGCUGGAUACAGGGAUGGAUCGUUACUGCUCUCCGAUCCGAUCCGAUCCGCUGGCUGGAGACUUAUCUACAGGGUUAUGGAAGAAGUACUAUCAACAGUAGUAGUGAAGGCAGAGGCACAGAAAUAGACAAUGAAGUCAAAGACAAAACAUACAAACCACUGUAGGAAGAGUGCAGUGACAGCAGUCAAGAUAAGAGUGCAGGGAAGUACACCAAGAAAUUUAUGGAAAAAAAAACAAGAGCGUAACAGCAGUGAUAGUCUAGAGGAAAAGAGCUUGCUCUCAAAGAAAACAGCACAGAAGAAAACCGAGUGUCCAAAAUGUUUACGUUUACACAUGCAGAAAACCUAGCAAUUAUCAAGCAUCUUGUGUCUUUGUUUGACAAAUUGAUGGGCCCCAAAAUGUCAAGACAGAAUCCGCAUGGAAAAAAAAAAAAACAGUGGCAGAAGAUUACCAACGCUGUCAACACAAUUGGCAUAGCCCCAAGGACAGAGGCAAACAUUUGAAAACAUUAUCAAGAUAUAAAGGGAACACUAAAAAAGAAACUCUCCAUUAAUAAUAAAGAAAG